UAAACUACACUAGCGAGCUCGCUCAGUGACUAACCUAAACCGCUUUUCGUAAUUUCUCGACAUUUAUUUAAAAUAAGUGCGUACACGGUAUUUCGUUCGGUAUGGAAAGAUGUCGUUUGAAUGAACAUCGAUUACGAAGCUUUAUUAAAUAUGUGUUAUUAUUAACAACGAAAAGGUUUUAUGUCAGAAAACUGCAACUUUAAAGUCAAAUAGAAGAUACAGCGUAGCUGUUUCGAGUCGCACUCGAAGAGAGGAACAAAAAUCGCGAAACAGUGAGUCGUCUGCAGAAACUCAACUUGCUGAUGCAGAUUCAGACAACUCAAUGGUUCAUUUGCAACUCUCGUCACAACGGAUCCAACGUUCUCUCUCAUGCGGACCACACUCUCGACAGCUCUAGCAAUACUACCUCGACAACGCAACUCGCACUCUCUGCUUCCCGAUUGGCACUGCUCACUUUUGCAUCCCUUUUGUCUUUUUCUUAGACCCACCACGCACGUCUUCCGCAGCCGCUCGUAGCCAGGGUGAUACGUAGGCCCUUUGUACGAAAUUGUUCAAUUGAAAGACCGACGACGCAUUGAUGGGCUCUCAUCGGCGCCGCGGCUCUCGGGACAUUGUUUAUAUUUCAUUACAUAUCUCUUAAGCCCUCUUCCACGAUACUACAUUAUCAUAUACUUUUCUGUUAGUACUAAGUAGAGUUAUUAAAGACAUUCUACGUAAAAAAAUUGAUAUGGAUAUGAUAUAUAAAAGUAUUGCAUCGGCAACUUUAUUUUCUCAACUUAUAUACAGCUUACAGGGUAACUUCCAUUGCGAGUAAGA